AUUGAACUGAAGAGUUUGAUCCUGGCUCAGAUUGAACGCUGGCGGCAUGCCUUACACAUGCAAGUCGAACGGCAGCACGGGCUUCGGCCUGGUGGCGAGUGGCGAACGGGUGAGUAAUACAUCGGAACAUGUCCUGUAGUGGGGGAUAGCCCGGCGAAAGCCGGAUUAAUACCGCAUACGAUCUGAGGAUGAAAGCGGGGGACCUUCGGGCCUCGCGCUAUAGGGUUGGCCGAUGGCUGAUUAGCUAGUUGGUGGGGUAAAGGCCUACCAAGGCGACGAUCAGUAGCUGGUCUGAGAGGACGACCAGCCACACUUGGGACUUGAGACACGGCCCAGACUCCUACGGGAGGCAGCAGUUGGGGAAUUUUUUGGACAAUUGGGCGCAAGCCUUGAUCCAGCAAU
rnacentral:rRNA from 1 species